rnacentral:tRNA from 1 species
GCCUGGGUGGCUCAGUUGGUUAAGUGUCUGACUUGGACUCAGGUCAUGAUCUCACAGUUUGUGGGUUCAAGCCCUGCUCUGGGCU